rnacentral:misc_RNA from 1 species
GAUGAAGAACGUAGCGAAAUGCGAUAAGUAAUGUGAAUUGCAGAAUUCAGUGAAUCGUCGAAUCUUUGAACGCACAUUGCGCCCUCUGGUAUUCCGGAGUGCAUGCCUGUUCGAGCGUCAUUAUCACCCCUCAAGCCCGGCUUGUUGUUGGAUGCAGCGCUUAUCCCGCUCCUCCCAAAGAUAAUGACGGCGUCUGCGACGACUCCUGUACACUGAGCUUUCGGGCACGUACACGGCUAGAAGUCCAGACCCGGUCGCCGUCCCCCCCGCGGGGACACCCAUUACCACAAGGUUGACCUCGGAUCAGGUAGGAAUACCCGCUGAACUUAAGCAUAUCAAUAAGCGGAGGA